GCGCUCAGGUGAGGGGGUGUCCAGCUGAGGAACGGCCUUCCCGCCCCGGGGGGAUGGCAGCGACGAGCCGGAGGGUUGGCAACUGUGCUCCGUCUAUCAUGCAAGACAGUCGGAUGCCACUCCCUGUGCUAGCAAGUAUGCCCGUAGCAGCAGGCUGUAUGCCAGCAAGAGGGAAGAUGCAUUACCCUGCCUAAACCAAAGAUAAGGCAGUGCAAAAGGACUACCCCUUUUUAGUACUACCAGUACUACUGUGAAGAAAUUGAAACGGAAAGUAGCCAGGAGAGGAUCCAGCUGGAGCUCCCCCAGUUAACACCCCUGAACAAUGAAUGAUACCGAACAAUGAUUGUUUAGCAUCAAGUCUAACAAUUGAGUUAACCACUGGAUUUUGAACUAUCUGGUAUAUUAAUUUGCUAUAACCUCUCGAUCAAAGAACCGUGCAAAACUAAAGCCUUGUGCUUUAUAGUAGUUUUAUAUGAAAAAAAAUGUAGUUAUGAAUUAAGGUCUUACUUGUCUGAAAAAGUACCAGAUUAUCUCAGCAAAAUCUACUUUCUGUAAAUCCACGUAAAUUGGCAUAAAUAACAUACUUCCUUUUACUUUGGUAUUUAUUAACACAGUCAUUUUGGGCAGCAUGCAUUUCAGGCUGUGGACUUCCAUCAGGCCCAUAUCCAGAAGAAUCCAGACAAUGUCAGGCUACAGGCUGGAUGGAAGUUCACAGCCUGAAUUGCCCAGGUUGUUCCGUAUACCUUGCAAAAUACUGUUUCAAGGUGAACUUCUUCCCUGCCCCCUAGAGAUCCCCUGGACUUCCACUUCUUCUGAAAGUGAGUUUUAGUGACUCAAAGCACUCUUCUGUCAGCUCUUGGAAAGUUCUGGGAUGAUAACAAUACACAUUUUCUGAUGUUAA